rnacentral:rRNA from 1 species
GACGAACCGUGCAAACGUUGUUCGGAAUCACUGGGCUUAAAGGGCGCGUAGGCGGGUCUCAAAGUCGGUGGUGAAAUCUUUCAGCUCAACUGGAAAAGUGCCGCCGAUACUGGAGAUCUCGAGGGAGGUAGGGGUCGAUGGAACUAAUGGUGGAGCGGUGAAAUGCGUAGAUAUCUGGAGGAACACCGGUGGCGAAGGCGGCAUCCUGGACCGACACUGACGCUGAGGAGCGAAAGCCAGGGGAGCAAACGGG